UACGUAGGGUGCGAGCGUUAAUCGGAAUUACUGGGCGUAAAGUGUGCGCAGGCGGCGCCGCAAGUCGUGUGUGAAAGCCCCGGGCUUAACUUGGGAAUUGCGCUCGAAACUAUGGUGCUGGAGUGUGGCAGAGGAAGGUGGAAUUCCACGUGUAGCGGUGAAAUGCGUAGAGAUGUGGAGGAACACCGAUGGCGAAGGCAGCCCCCUGGGAUAACACUGACGCUCAUGCACGAAAGCGUGGGGAGCAAACAGG
rnacentral:rRNA from 1 species